rnacentral:rRNA from 1 species
UACGUAGGGUGCGAGCGUUAAUCGGAAUUACUGGGCGUAAAGCGUGCGCAGGCGGUUUUGCAAGCCGGAUGUGAAAUCCCCGGGCUUAACCUGGGAAUGGCAUUUGGGACUGCAAGGCUGGAGUGCGGCAGAGGAGACUGGAAUUCCUGGUGUAGCGGUGAAAUGCGUAGAUAUCGGAAGGAACAUCAGUGGCGAAGGCGGGUCUCUGGGCAGUAACUGACGCUGAGGAGCGAAAGCGUGGGGAGCGAACAGG